CCUUACCACCCUGAAGUUUCCUGAUAUAAUCUGAUCUCAGAAAUUAAUUAAGAACAGGCCUAGUUAGUAACUGGAUGAGAGAGGUAUGAGAAAUUGGGUGG
ensembl:rRNA 5S_rRNA 5S ribosomal RNA